rnacentral:misc_RNA from 1 species
AGAUUUGAAAGCAAAUCCUGAAACACUAUCAACUGCUACUGAAAGCUGCUGAAUUAACUCUUCAGCUGUCACAUCCCCAUCAUAAGUGGAUGCCACAUUAGACAUCCAAGCAGGAACUAGGGAAGAUUGCCAAGCAAAACAAUUAUUUCUCAGAAGGCACCUCAAAACUCCUUCUGGACAAAGCAUCAGCCACCUGAUUCUCAAUCACCUUUCUAUAUAAAAUCUUAUAAU